CGGUCGAGUGAAGCGGCAACAGCUCAAAUUUGAAAUCUGGCCCCCAGGGUCCGAGUUGUAAUUUGUAGAGGAUGCUUUUGGCGAGGUGCCUUCCGAGUUCCCUGGAACGGGACGCCAUAGAGGGUGAGAGCCCCGUCUGGUUGGACACCGAGCCUCUGUAAAGCUCCUUCGACGAGUCGAGUAGUUUGGGAAUGCUGCUCUAAAUGGGAGGUAUAUGUCUUCUAAAGCUAAAUACCGGCCAGAGACCGAUAGCGCACAAGUAGAGUGAUCGAAAGAUGAAAAGCACUUUGAAAAGAGGGUUAAAUAGUACGUGAAAUUGUUGAAAGGGAAGCACUUGUGACCAGACUUGGGCCCGGUUGAUCAUCCAGCGUUCUCGCUGGUGCACUCUGCCGGCCCAGGCCAGCAUCAGUUCGUGCCGGGGGACAAAGGCUUCGGGAAUGUGGCUCCUCCGGGAGUGUUAUAGCCCGUUGCAUAAUACCCUGGCGCGGACUGAGGUUCGCGCUCCGCAAGGAUGCUGGCGUAAUGGUCAUCAGUGACCCGUCUUGAAACACGGACCAAGGAGUCGUCUUCGUAUGCGAGUGUUCGGGUGUCAAACCCCUACGCGUAAUGAAAGUGAACGCAGGUGAGAGCUUCGGCGCAUCAUCGACCGAUCCUGAUGUUCUCGGAUGGAUUUGAGUAAGAGCAUACGGGGCCGGACCCGAAAGAAGGUGAACUAUGCCUGUAUAGGGUGAAGCCAGAGGAAACUCUGGUGGAGGCUCGCAGCGGUUCUGACGUGCAAAUCGAUCGUCAAAUAUGGGCAUGGGGGCGAAAGACUAAUCGAACCUUCUAGUAGCUGG
rnacentral:rRNA from 1 species